rnacentral:rRNA from 1 species
CCUACGGGAGGCAGCAGUGGGGAAUAUUGGGCAAUGGGCGCAAGCCUGACCCAGCAACGCCGCGUGAAGGAAGAAGGCUUUCGGGUUGUAAACUUCUUUUAAGGGGGAAGAGCAUAAGACGGUACCCCUUGCAUCAGCCACGGCUAACUACGUGCCAGCAGCCGCGGUAAUACGUAGGUGGCAAGCGUUGUCCGGAUUUACUGGGUGUAAAGGGCGUGCAGCCGGAGAGACAAGUCAGAUGUGAAAUCCACGGGCUCAACCCGUGAACUGCAUUUGAAACUGUUUCCCUUGAGUGUCGGAGAGGUAAUCGGAAUUCCUGGUGUAGCGGUGAAAUGCGUAGAUAUAAGGAAGAACACCAGUGGCGAAGGCGGAUUACUGGACGAUAACUGACGGUGAGGCGCGAAAGCGUGGGGAGCAAACAGGAUUAGAUACCCUUGUAGUC